rnacentral:rRNA from 1 species
UUGGAGGGCAAGUCUGGUGCCAGCAGCCGCGGUAAUUCCAGCUCCAAUAGCGUAUAUUAAAGUUGUUGCAGUUAAAAAGCUCGUAGUUGAAUUUCGGGAUUGACGUGGUGGUCAUGCCUUAAGGGGUAUGAACUGUCACUGUUGAUUUCUCACCUUCUGGAGAAACUUGAUGUCCUUUAUUGGGUGUCUUGCGGAUCCAGGACCUUUACCUUGAGAAAAUUAGAGUGUUUAAAGCAGGCAUUUUUGCUCGAAUACAUUAGCAUGGAAUAAUAGAAUAGGACGGCAUGGUUCUAUUUUGUUGGUUUCUAGGAUCACCGUAAUGAUUAAUAGGGAUAGUUGGGGGCAUUAGUAUUCAAUUGUCAGAGGUGAAAUUCUUGGAUUUAUUGAAGACUAACUACUGCGAAAGCAUUUGCCAAGGAUGUUUUCAUUAACCAAGAGCGAAAGUUAGGGGAUCGAAGACGAUCAGAUACCGUCGUAGUCUUAACCAUAAACUAUGCCGACUAGGAAUCAGACGAUGUUAAUUUUUUAAUGACUCGUUUGGCACCUUACGGGAAACCAAAGUGUUUGGGUUC